rnacentral:lncRNA from 1 species
GCCAGAGUGAGGCCGGAACCUGCUGGGUCCCGCAGGCUGUCGGAGCGCUUCUGCGUGCGGGCCAGGGGCUGAGCAGGUAGCGAUAGCAGGCUCCUUGGGGAGCCACCAUCCAAGGGGGCAGGGGACCCCCACCCGGCCACUUAGGGCGUCCGUAGAGGCGCUGGAAUGAAACGCCGCGGGAAAGCUCGACUGCUGGCACUUGCAGGAAGCCGGUGUCCUUGGCUGGGAAGGUGCUUGGGAGAGGGCGAGGUUUGGAGAAGCCUGGAGAGAUGCAAGGAGGGGGCUUCGGGCUUCAUUGGUCUGAGCAGCCGUCAGAGUAGCAUUUUGCUGGAGGGAAAAUUGUUCUACACUCAGCAUUUUUCUCAAGUUUUUCAUCCACCUCCAAGAUCUACAAUUUGCUGCAGUAAGAAGUCAACCAGCCCUCAGUGAUUCAGUGAAACCGUUGCUGGAGUGCAGAACCUGGAAAAUUUAAGUGCUGAGGUCAAAAUUCAGGAUGAGCAGAUGGAAACAGAAGCAUAGUUCAGAGACUGAAUAAAGAAUUCCAAGACAUACAGCCAAGAGGAGACAGUUUGAAAACUGUACCUUUGGUUUAUUGUCCAAGGGUGGCAGAAUUAUUCCUCUUGUAAAGUGUUUCUGCUUUUUUCCUGGAGACCACUAAAAUCAUACAGGAAUGUGUUUUCAUUAAAUUGCUUUUUUUUUCCCCGUUCAUUUUCAUCGAAAUAAAAUCAAUUCACAGUAAGACUAUAUUUAAAGAGAUAUAUAAAUGUUAUGCGAAAUAUCUUUGAAGAUAAUCAGUGUGAUUGUUGUUAUUGAAUGAAAACUCACUAAUUUUUCUGCCCUUGGAUUUAAAGAUGUAACUACAAAAGCAAGACCAAACACCAAUCACUUUCUAAACUUUGAUUUUCUUAUUGUUCAGUAAAAAUGCUGCUUUACGAUGUAGUUAAAAAGGGAGUAAAAUGUGCAUUGUCUUUUUGGAGAGAUGAAUAUUGUGUCUUUAGUUUUAGUCCAGAAUGAAUUCUAACUAUCAAAAUAAGUAACUAUUAAAUCUUCAGUCUUAAGACAAUUCUGCCAGAUUUUCUUCUUCAGUGACCCUGAAGUGAUUAUUUGGGUAGUAUGCAAAUGAAAUCACAUUUUGGCAAUUUACAAAUGUAUCUAAUUCAGAUUUUCCGCAAUACCUGAUGGACAAUAAUUAUUGUAUAUGCAAAAAAAAAAAAUCACUAAAUGUUCACAAAUAAUGCUUGUGAUGUUUCUCAUUUUCCAAGUCUGAUUCAUUUUAAGAAUUCAGAAAGUGAAGGUAACAUUUCAGUCAGUAGUCUUUUUUUUUUAACCUUUUCUUAAAUGUCAAUUUGAAGCUAACUUGAGCUCAUAAUACCUUUAAGACUCAAAUUUAAUUCAUAUGUUAAGUGAGGCUACAAUUUACAAAUAAAUAUACUUCUUCAUGAAAAUAUUUAACCAGAUUUAAAUUCUUUAAUUUAAAAUAUUUCAGUUUCAAGUGGAAAUCCAAUUCCAGUAUGAAGUGAUAAAUCUGAAUGCUUAAACUUCAUCUUUCACAAAUUUAGUUUAUUGCUCUUAACAAAAUUUACAACUUGGUUACAUUGUAUAAGAACUUCAUUAAGCCAUGGAGACUUGUUUCCUGCUUUGUGUUCAUGGUGAAUAAACAAUGUAUAAAUCCAAUUCUGUCUGAGGCAACUUUUUAAUUUUAUGCUCUUAUAUUAGGGCAGAUAUGAAAAAGCACUCCUUCUACUCAGGUCUGUGAUUUAUUUUCUUGUUCUUCCACUCAAGAAAUCAUCAGAGAUUUAUGGUCUUUUUACAUUGAUUACAUUAAAUUGGGGGAAUUCCCUUUUUUUUUUUUUUAAACUCAAGAGUCAGCUUUUUUAAGUAUAUGAAAAUUUUAAGAAUUAUUAAUUUUUAUUUUUAAAAAAGCCUGUGAUGAUGAUCAAAGUUUUUUUUUCAUCUAAAAAAAAUGCUGCAAAUUGGCUGUAACAUACAAUAUGACACCAUAAAGAAAUGUUUCCAUUCUAAGGAGAAAAGAAUUUUCUGGCACUAAACACAUAUUUAGUAAAAUGACCAUAAAAAGUCGUUGCACCUAAUGUGUUUUAAAGUCCAAAGGGAUAUCUACCCUAGUCCUUACCUCUAGUUAUAACCUAGAGACAUCAGCUGAGCCAGCAAGUCAUGUGGUUACCCAAGAGCAGUUUCCCAUCAAAGUGAAGUGGAGGGAGGAAUCUGAGACCUUGGCAGAAAAAGACUCCAUUUCUCCAAAAACCUAAGGAGUGGAGUGUACAGUGAAGUAGUAAGAAAAUUUGGCACCAAGAAGAAGGGAAGAACUACACAUGGAAGCCAAUGAAGAAGAAAUUCAUAUAACUCACUUUUGCCCUCCAGAACUGAUCAGGCCCUAAAAGCACCUGGUUACUCAAUGCUUAUAUUUGCCCAUCUAUCCAUAAAACAAUAAUAUUGGGCUAGAGGGGUGGCUGUAUUUUCAGUGAUUUUUAGCCCUAAAGAUGAAGUCAUUUGCACAAAGUAGAUAUCAAAAUGUUGACUAAAUAAAUGAAACCCAAUAUAGGCAGUAAGCUGAUAUUAAUGAUGAUGAGAAACAUUGUCUGACUCUUCUGUUUGGAGAUAAUCUAUUUUAUCAAAGGCAGGGAUUAAUUCACUUGUGUCUGUGUGUGUCCCCAGCACUUACCUUGAUUAGUAGGCAUUGCUUGAUUGACCAGAGACUUUGCAAAGAUAGAAAAGUAGAGUUUCUACUACUCCAAACUCUACUAGUAGAUUCAAGGAUACAAAAUGGAUUCAAGAAAGAAAUAUCAGGGUAAGACAGAAGCAAACCUAAAACGUUAAUGUGACCUUUAUUAUACAGCACAUCUGGUGUUUGGUGUAUUCCAACAUGUAUACAGAAUAAUCUAUAAAAACCAAACCUGACCAUUUCAAAAUUACACUAAAUGAAGUCUUAACCCACAGUCGCGUCUCUAAAAAAUAAACACACGAUAUGGCCCUGCAGUAACAAUGUUAUGAAAAGAACUUGGUAUAGCACAAAGUAGGUCAUAAGAAUCAGUUUGUUCUAAAGUAAUUUCUUUUGUUAUUGCACUUUUAUCCUAAACACUUAGUUUGUUACAUUUUCCUUUAACACUGUAAUGAACAUCAGUCCUUUAAAAUUAAGACAAAAAUAAACAAAAAGCACUACACGAAGACAUUAUACAACAAACUGUUUUGACCAUUUUUUUCCUCAGCUCUCUUGGUAAGUUGCCCUUCUUAGUACCAGGUGCAUGUCAUACAUACACACACUAACAGAGCCCCUGUGAUUACUGUAAUUGAACUUAAUGUUAACAAAGCACAUAAAUGAAUUUAAAAAUAAAACCUCUUUGAGAGCAGUAGUACUACUUGAAGUCCUGAGGGAAUUUUCAAUUCCUUCAGUUCUCCCCCAACCCAGCUCUAGACCCACUGGGAAUCAGCAAAAAAUAUUCUUAUUUUUAGAAAAGAUAAAAGGUUGUUUUCCCAGCAAAUCUAGAAAUUAAGCCUCCAAAGGGAGGGGGGAGGGGGGCGAGGGGGGAGGGGAAAACCAGUAAAGAUAGAAAAGCAGCUAUUCAGUGACCAGGGGAGGGUUGCUGACCCUACACUAACAAGGCAGGACUUUGGCAUCACCAUAUAUAAAUCAAAUAUUUAACCCAUUCUCUCCAAGAAAUGGCUACAAGGGCAUCAAUAUUCCUGAAAAAGCCAGAAGAAAACACUUCCUCUUCUGCUUCUAAGUGUAAAAAAAAAUAAGCCAAUGAAGAAAGUUUUAUUCUGUGCAGUUAAUAACCUCUGGGUUCCAAAAAAUUGUUUAGAGCAAUCAGAUGCUGAACACCUACCACCCUUCUGCACUUGUUAUCACCCUGUUUUACCUGUAAGGAGAACAGAGCUUUUCUAAAAGCUUAAGUGAGGUCCUUUUGUUCUCUUAAAGUCUUUUCAAAGACAUUAAAAUGUAGCAAAGGACAGAAUAGUAUAGUCAACAGCUGUGACUCAUCUAACUUCUAAGUCUAACAUUCUCGUUUCUAUCCCUCAAACAUUUAAGAUUCUGAAAUUUAAAAUAAUUUGGGAACGGCAUUUAGUCCUAAAAGAUAAUCUUUUAGAAAAUAAUUCCAUCUUUGGAUAGUCUCUGAACAGCUAGCACCUUCCUAAUGAGGCUGGCUUUUAGAAAAGUGGAAGGUUUAUUGAGGAAAGGAGGCUGCUCUGUCCUAUGAGCAAGAGAGCAAGAUCUUUCUAUGUAGCACCUUCUGUAAGCAUUCCUCAACUUUCAGUAGUCUGUAUUUGCUUCUGGGAAUCAGAGCAAGGUUAUCAGUUGAGAUUCCUAACU